rnacentral:siRNA from 1 species
CAAGAAAGUCAAGUCCCUAUGG